rnacentral:lncRNA from 1 species
UUUGAAAAAGCCAGAGUCCCAUAGAGGGUCUGAAGAAAGCUGAAAGAUCAGUCUUAUCCAAGCUCAUGUGUAACACAGACUGAGUAAAAGUCCAAGGUCAUCUGCCUCCAAGUUCAGAGCUCUUUGCACAACUUUCAUUUAGCAUGUAUCUUCAUGUACCCACCAUGUGGCAAAUAAAUGAGGCUUCAGAGAGUAACAUAAAGCACAACCCUCAUCUAAAGAAGUUAAAUAAUUGCACCUAUAAAACAAUCUGAGACUGCCCCACCCCAUCAAUACAAGCUGAGUGAGUGACAAGCUACGUGCAGAGAGAGAGGAGAGCUCUGUAUGCCAACGGCCAGAAGCUGUCAUGGAAGGUAGAUCUGAGUUCUGCAGAUCCAGUCCUGGAGGAGUAGAUUGAGUUCACUGUAUCCCAGCUGAGCAUAUCUCUUCAACUUUCACUGAUGAAGACAUUUCAGAACAAAGAGCUUCUUUCCUAAUCAACCACACAAUGUACAUGCAAAUGUCUUACAUUGUUACAGUCAGCAGAACUCCUCGCUCCAAUUAUUUCAUGAUCAGUCUUGUUUCUUUCUUCUGUUCUGCUAUUUACUACCUAUAAUGGUCAAUUCCUAAUGACUCAGCAGCACACAAAAUGUUUCUUCUCCAGAAUCCCCAACAUCUCAAAAUUAGACUCUGCCAUAGUGAGCACAGCUACUGUCCUUUGGAUACCACACUAGCAGCCCAGCCUCUGCCCACCUGCAGCAGGGGUUCAGGGGGCACCAGUGGCUCUGCCUUACUGACUCUUAUCAGAGAGUGAAUGCCCUGAGUGGCAGCCUGUGGCCUCAAUCCUGCUAUCCCUCACAGAAGUCAGGAGGAAAGGGACAAUUGAAGGAAAGAAGAGAAGAAAGUUGUAUGUGACAAGAAGCUAAAUAACACCAAGUAUUGCUAUAGGUGCCAGUCAGUGACACCAGGGACACAGGCUGUCUAAGUCAACUGGAAAGGCCACUGAAUCUUCUGCAGGCUUGCUUGUGACCAGAAGGCCGCAUGAUCCCUCCCCUCCUGCCACCACCAAACACAAAAUUUCUAAACAAUUCAUCAAGCCUACCCUCCUCCAAAAUUCAGAGGCUUGGGGGGAAGGUUGU